rnacentral:rRNA from 1 species
GCAACCCACGACCGGCGAACGGGUGCGUAACACGUGAGCGACCUGCCUUCCCGCGGGGGAUAGCCGGCCCAACGGCCGGGUAAUACCGCAUACGCUCGGUUGGGGGCAUUCCUGAUCGAGGAAACUUCCGGGGCGGGGAGAGGGGCUCGCGGCCUAUCAGCUAGUUGGCGGGGUAAUGGCUCACCAAGGCGACGAUCAGUAGCUGGUCUGAGAGGAUGAUCAGCCACAUUGGGACUGAGACACGGCCCAAACUCCUACGGGAGGCAGCAGUGGGGAAUAUUGGACAAUGGGCGCAAGCCUGAUCCAGCCAUGCCGCGUGAGUGAUGAAGGCCCUAGGGUUGUAAAGCUCUUUUGUGCGGGAAGAUAAUGACGGUACCGCAAGAAUAAGCCC